UGGAGGUGGAGGGGAUCAGCUCCACAAUAACCAGCAGGAAGACAGUCAGAGAAAGCAGGACAGAGAUGGAGAGAGUCAUCUUUUCACCUGGAGAGAGGCAGAAACAAUGAGACAUUCAGGCUUCUUGUAUACUUCUGUGUUACUGACUCCCACCUGAGAAUGGGAAUAAGCAAAUUAAUGAAAUAUUCUAGUUUUUGAGUCUAAAUGAAAUCCACUGAGAAAUGUGACCGACACCUGGUGGAUCUAGUGGCUGUUUCACAUAUGAAAGCAGUCCAGAAAGCUGUUCCACUUUUUAAUGCAUGCCAAGACCCACCCGGAUCUACGCACCAGAGUCAGUAGGCAGGUAGAAGACUAGCCCGGUGAGAAAAGAGAAC